rnacentral:rRNA from 1 species
UACAGAGGGGGCAAGCGUUGUUCGGAAUUACUGGGCGUAAAGGGCUCGUAGGUGGCCAAUUAAGUCAGGCGUGAAAUCCCCAGGCUCAACUUGGGAACUGCGUCUGAUACUGGUUGGCUUGAAUUCGGGAGAGGGAUGCAGAAUUCCAGGUGUAGCGGUGAAAUGCGUAGAUAUCUGGAGGAAUACCGGUGGCGAAGGCGGCAUCCUGGACCGAGAUUGACACUGAGGAGCGAAAGCCAGGGGAGCAAACGGG